CCUACGGGCGGCUGCAGUGGGGAAUAUUGGACAAUGGGGGCAACCCUGAUCCAGCCAUGCCGCGUGUGUGAAGAAGGCCCUCGGGUUGUAAAGCACUUUCAGUGAGGAAGAACGCCUGGUGGUUAAUACCCAUCAGGAAAGACAUCACUCACAGAAGAAGCACCGGCUAACUCCGUGCCAGCAGCCGCGGUAAUACGGAGGGUGCGAGCGUUAAUCGGAAUUACUGGGCGUAAAGCGCGCGUAGGUGGCUUGAUAAGCCGGUUGUGAAAGCCCCGGGCUCAACCUGGGAACGGCAUCCGGAACUGUCAAGCUAGAGUGCAGGAGAGGAAGGUAGAAUUCCCGGUGUAGCGGGUAAAUGCGUAGAGAUCGGGAGGAAUACCAGUGGCGAAGGCGGCCUUCUGGACUGACACUGCCACUGAGGUGCGAAAGCGUGGGUAGCAAACAGGAUUAGAUACCCUAGUAGUC
rnacentral:rRNA from 1 species